UAAUCUUAUAGCCAUGUGGCAAGAGUGAAAAAUUUAAACGACGAAGGGCCAAUGGUUAAGAGUGCCAUACUUCACUGAUUGAAAUUUUAUGAUAUUUAAAUAUCUAUUUAUUGAAACUGCAAACAAACACUGACUGGUUUAAAAGUGUGUGAAUUCGUUAGAACCAAAAUAUUUGUGAGACUUGAAAUGAAAUUCGUUGUUUCUCGGGGGUUCAGAAGUAAUUUAUUUAAAUUAAGUAACUUUAUUAUAUUUGUAAAUUAUUGCAAAGAAAUUGAUUGAGAAUGUAUUAAACAGCAAUUUUUUUAUAAAAAAAAAUAUUAGCUUUAGUUCGAAAUAAGUGUUAUACAUUCUAAUAAAAAUUUACAACAUUGAA